rnacentral:rRNA from 1 species
GCUACCUGACCUAGCGGCGGACGGGUGAGUAAUGCUUAGGAAUCUGCCUAUUAGUGGGGGACAACAUUCCGAAAGGAAUGCUAAUACCGCAUACGCCCUACGGGGGAAAGCAGGGGAUCUUCGGACCUUGCGCUAAUAGAUGAGCCUAAGUCAGAUUAGCUAGUUGGUGGGGUAAAGGCCUACCAAGGCGACGAUCUGUAGCGGGUCUGAGAGGAUGAUCCGCCACACUGGGACUGAGACACGGCCCAGACUCCUACGGGAGGCAGCAGUGGGGAAUAUUGGACAAUGGGCGAAAGCCUGAUCCAGCCAUGCCGCGUGUGUGAAGAAGGCCUUUUGGUUGUAAAGCACUUUAAGCGAGGAGGAGGCUACUUAGAUUAAUACUCUAGGAUAGUGGACGUUACUCGCAGAAUAAGCACCGGCUAACUCUGUGCCAGCAGCCGCGGUAAUACAGAGGGUGCGAGCGUUAAUCGGAUUUACUGGGCGUAAAGCGUGCGUAGGCGGCUUCUUAAGUCGGAUGUGAAAUCCCUGAGCUUAACUUAGGAAUUGCAUUCGAUACUGGGAAGCUAGAGUAUGGGAGAGGAUGGUAGAAUUCCAGGUGUAGCGGUGAAAUGCGUAGAGAUCUGGAGGAAUACCGAUGGCGAAGGCAGCCAUCUGGCCUAAUACUGACGCUGAGGUACGAAAGCAUGGGGAGCAAACAGGA